GGGGAGAUAGCACAAUGGUAGUGCCCCAGCCUUGGACGUUGGCGGUUGUAGGUUCAAGUCCUGCUCUCCCCACCA
rnacentral:tRNA from 1 species